GGUUUGGGACAAGCGUAAUCGACUCUUGAUAAGCAUACAGUUUCCCUGACUGAAACAGCUGUGAGCCUCGGUGGGCCAAGGGCAUUGGUCAGCAGGUUUUACAGAGGACAAGAGAGCAUCGGCUGGCACAGCAGCGGGGUAGGUAGAGGUCAGUAAGGAGUGUGGAAUGCCAGUAAAUGUUUAACAACUGGCUCUGGGUGGGGGGCUGGUUUGUGGUGUUUGCAGAUUUCUGUGGUGUCCAUACUCUCAAGGUGACAUCACUGAACGCGAAGCUGGGAAGAGAUGUGUACAGUCAGCUCUCGUGCCUGACAAAAGGCAGCUCCAGCACACCCUGGCGAAGAGCAUACUUUGGCCACGAGAGAUCUCUCCAAGGGGACAUGAAGCAAGCAAAGAGGAUCUCGAGAAUUUUCAGGAGACAUUAUUGGAAAUGCAGAAGGAGGCUGAUAGAAUCUUCCCUCAAUGCAACCCCUCCAGAUUAAUUCUCCUCACUCCAGACUUGGUGGGUAACCAGAACCACGCUAUGAGACAGUGUAGUCCCUGUCCUGUCGUGGCCACAGGCUCCAUCGAAGAUUCAAAGGUAGGAGCAGAGCCUCAGGUUUGGGAGUCAAUAAAGGAGUCAUCAGAGAUCUGAAAGACUUCAGCAAUGGCCACAGUAAAGACCCAAGGAGGGCUCAGGGUGGCUGCAAAACAGACCUGCCAAUGACAGAUGCACCUUGGAGGCUGUGGGGGUUGUGGCCAGUGGUGGGACAAGUGAGCACACUGGGUGUGUGUCUGCAUUUGAUCAAGGCUCCGGGAUGAAGCCCAGGCUCUUUGCCAUGGUAUUCAAGGCUUUUCCCCAUCUGGCCUCACCCGCCCUUUUGGUCUCAUCUGCCACCACAAUACGUCCCACAAACCCUGAAUCUGAGCACCACACAUCCAUGCUUCCACCCCUCUGGGCCUUUCACAUGCUGCUUGCUCUGCUGGGAAUCUACUUCUCCACUCGAACAAAUGCUACUCAUCGUCAGAGCUCCUGCUCCCACGUUGCCUCCUCCGUGAAGCCCUCACCGAUCCUUCCCUCCGCACGCCUCGUGAGAUGAACCGCUGCCUUCUUAGCGUCUUCCUCAUUUUUAUGCAUAAUAUGGUACCCUUUUAUGAACGUAUUAUAUUUGUAGGAAACUUUUCUGAGUCCCCAAAAGAUGCCUCACCCCGAGAAUCAAAUGUAAAUCAACCAGACACAGUCCAUGCCCUCAAAUACAUUAUGGGGAAUAGAGACAAGUAAGCCACUGGCUUUAAUGCGACAGCAUCCUCUGAGGACAGCGGAGAAGCGCUUAUCCUGACAUGAGGAGUCAGAGUACACCUCCUGGAAGAAGUGGGGUUCUGACAGCUGCAAGAUGAGCAGGGGCCAGGAGAGGAGAGCAGAGAGAGGAAUGCAAUGUCUUUAACAAAUGUUUGUAUGGCUCUUUACUGAUUUCAGCGAAUCACUGCAGACACUCCGUGGUAGAUAUUAUUAUGUUCAUGCUUGUCUCACAUGUGAGGAAAUUUAGGCCCAAUAAGAUUAAAUAACCUGCCCAAGAUCACAUCAUUGUAAAA
ensembl:lncRNA